GCCUGGGUGGCUCAGUCAGUUGAGCGUCUGACUUCAGCUCAGGUCAUGAUCUCGCGGUUUGUGAGUUCGAGCCCCACGUCGGGCU
rnacentral:tRNA from 1 species